CCUACGGGAGGCAGCAGUGAGGAAUUUUCCGCAAUGGGCUAACGCCUGACGGAGCAAUGCCGCGUGGAGGAGGAAGGCCUGUGGGUCGUAAACUCCUUUUCUCAGAGAAGAAGAUCUGACGGUAUCUGAGGAAUAAGCAUCGGCUAACUCUGUGCCAGCAGCCGCGGUAAUACAGGGGGAUGCAAGCGUUAUCCGGAAUUAUUGGGCGUAAAGCGUCCUGAGGUGGCUUACCCAGUCGACUGUGAAAGCUCAAGGCUCAACCUUGAAACGGCAGUCGAAACUUGUAAGCUUGAGUACGGUAGAGGCAGAGGGAAUUCCCGGAGGAGAGGUGAAAUUCGUAGAUAUCGGGAGGAAGGCCAAAGGCGAAAGCACUCUGCUGGGCCGAUUACUGACACUGACAGACGAAAGCUAGGGGAGCGAAAGGGAUUAGAUACCCCUGUAGUCCUAGCCGUAAACGAUGGAUACUAAGUGUUGCGCGACUCAACUCGUGCAGUGCUGCAGCUAACGCGGUAAGUAUCCCGCCUGGGGAGUAUGCUCGCAAGAGUGAAACUCAAAGGAUUGACGG
rnacentral:rRNA from 1 species